GAAAUGCAAAAGUUAAGAAAGGAAGAAGUAAGGAAAGAAGAGUGAACAAGAGUGAAAGAAGAAAGGAAAGAAGAGAGUGUCACAAGAGUGGCUAUGGAUAGACAGUAAAGAAAGAGUGUAGAGGCAAAAUACUGAAAGAAGGAGAGAAAAUGGAGUGAAGCAGAGAGAUGGAGUGUGAGAAAGAGGAGUUGGAGAGGGAUAUAAAAAAACAAGUGGAUGGAGGUUUUACAGAGAGUGGUUGCUAGGUUGUUGCUAGGGUAAUUGAGGUAGCUGCUAGGGUAGUCAUGGUGGUUGCUAAGGUAAUUUAAGUGGUUGCUAGGUAGUCAUAGUGGUUGUUAUGGUGGUUGCUAGGUUGUCAUUAUAGUAGUGGUUGCUAGGGUAAUUGAGGUGGUUGCUAGGGCGUUGCUAGGGUAGUCAUGUUGGUUGCUAUGGUAAUUGAAGUGGUUGCUAUGUUGGUUGCUAGGUAGUCAUAGUGGUUGCUAUGGUGGUUGCUAGGUUGUCAUUAUAGUAGUGGUUGCUAGGUUGUUGCUAGGGUAAUUGAAGGGUUGCUAGGGUGUUGCUAGGGUAGUAAUGUGGGUUGCUAUGGUAAUUGAAGUGGUUGCUAUGCUGGUUGCUAGGUAGUCAUAGUGGUUGCUAUGGUGGUUGCCAGGUUGUUGCUAGGGUAAUUGAGGUGGUUGCUAGGGCAGUCAUGGUGGUUGCUAUGGUAAUUGAAGUGGUUGCUAUGCUGGUUGUUAGGGAAGUCAUGUUGGUUGAAAGUAAGUCAGAGAAAGCUGACAUAAAAAGUUGAAAAAAGGGUGGGAAUUGAUGGACAGUGAUCAUAAGAAGAAAGGAAAGAAGAGUGAACAGGAGUGGCUAUUGAUAAUGAGAAAAAGAGAGGGUGAAGAGGGAAAAUACUGAAAGAAGGAGAGAAAAUGGAGAGAAGCAGAGAGAUGGAGUGUGAGAGAAAGUAGACUGAGGGAUAGAGAGAAAGUAAAAAAAAAGCAGAGUAUGGAAGGUGUCUCUUAAUAUUCCUAGUU
ensembl:lncRNA